rnacentral:tRNA from 1 species
GGCUGUGACUUAGUGGUAGAGUGCUCAUCUCACAUGUGUGAGGCCUUGGGUUCAAUCCUCAGCACCA